AUACUGUGCAAGUGAGCUGUUGAAUCUAGGCAUACCAGGAUCAGGAUGGCCGAACUGGAGUACAUUUAAAAAGAUUUCGGGGAGGAAAUCAUUCAGAUUUUGAAAGGAGCAUUUCUUCUCAGAAAAUGAAGGAUUCAUUGAGUACAGAUUUAAGAAUAUGAGGCAGAAUGGCAAACAGGGUAAGAAGAGGAAGCAUGCCAAAUCAGAUGAUCACAAACAAGAAGAUAUGAUAGUGGAUGAGGAAUUACUUCAAGAUGAAGAAUUACAAGAAAAGGUGAACUGAAAGAAGCACACAGUUCCCACUGCAGCAAAUAAGGGGAAAAUUAUCAAUUUUUUCAAAGACACUGCUGCUUAUCGUCAAAUGAUGCUAAAGAAGAGGACAGACAUGACCAUUACAGACUUCAUCACCACCUUUCCAAGGAUACAAGAGAUGCCAGAACUUAUCAACAUGGACUUUGAAGCAGAACAUUUUAUUUCAAAGUGGGAGUCGUUCUACCGAGACCGUAUCAUAAAAUUAGGUUUGAGCGGGUAUCCAGCGGUAAAAGAAUCAAUUCAACAGUUUUGAGGAAGGUGACAACAGAGACCUGUGUGCUUUAACUGCACUGUUGCUGAUGUUACAUAAGCCACUGACAAAGACCAAGAACCCCACCUCGAGUUCAAGAGCAUCGAGUUUGGAGCACUUCAUCCAGUACAGACCUAUUGGGACAGAUGUUCAAGCGGCAGCAGCUGGGAAGUCUGCUGAGUUUCUGCAGCCCUAUAUUCUAGCCCUUGGACACAGACGCAAGCCACUAUAAUCUUGCGGAUCGAACUACUUCUUCAGUUUUCAACCAAUAUUCAUGAAAUUUGGCACAUACAUUGGUCUGUUGUGAGGAUGUGCAGACACAUUUUUCACAAAAGUAACUAGAAAACAAGGUGAUAUCUAGUUUGAUAUUACAUUGCUGAGAGUGAUUUAUUAUUCGUGAGUCAUAAGCUAAAGAAUCAAGCAGAAUUUACAGGGUCUUGCAUUAAGACAUAGAGACAAAUUUAACUCUAAAUAGACUGGGGAGGGGGAGGGUGAAAGGCCCCCCCCCCCUUGAAAUUUUUUUUGUUGCCAUAAAUCUGUCGAUAAAUCUCAUGCAACUUUUGAGACCAAAUUUGGGACGCCUGGGUAUGCAGUCCGAAAUUAUGCAUAAUUAUGUAAGUGCAUGUCAGUCCCAAAAUUGCUCAAAAUGCAAAUUCUGUUUUUAGCCAAAAUUUAUACCGUUCUCUUUACUUUACUGAUUAAAAUCAAUUAAUUUCAUGUUGUUUAAGAUCAUAAAAUUAUUGUCGACGAUUUCCAUCCAAAAAAGUCGAAAACAAAGAAAUACAUAUGAAAUUUCAAAAACAAUUAAAUACUUAAAACACUUUGAUACUGAUUAUUUUUUUAUGUGCAUUUGGUCAGAAUCUCACAGGGAGUCUCUAAAAAGAUUAGCGGUAGAAGGGCCUUAUAAUUUAAAACAGUCAAAUUCUAAUUUCAUGCAUAAAUUAGGAUAAUUAAUAACAAAUUAAUUUGAAUAAUUUUGGAACAAUCAAAUAGUAUACAGUUUUGUAGAUUAAGUCAUGGGUGACGUGCAUGACUAUUUUCGUUUUUCGAUUGCGCGAUCAACAAAGCUGAGAUUGGGGGGGGGGGGCCUUUAGGGCAUUUACCCCCCCCCCCCCCCAGUCUUUCCAUCCUCCAAAAUACUCCAGUCUGAUUAAGGUUAAACUUUCAUUUUCAUAUUUAUUUUGCUCUUUUUGUCUCACCUGAACAAAGUUCAGCAGAGACUUAAUCACGGUCUCUGUUGGUCUGUUAUUCUGUUACAACAAUCUGAAAGUUUUUGUUUAACUUGCUCUCAUUUCUUUAUUUCUGCAAUUUAAGAAUUUGAGUACACAUGACUAUAAUUAAUUAUGCCAUGAAGUUAUUUACUGUGACACUGAUUAGCGCUGAAACACAACUUGCAUUGUAAACUCUUUCAAUAUUAUACAUUGCCUGGUCACUUAUCCCUUCCUUAUUAUAAAGGAUCGAACUUCUUCCUUAGUUUUGAACAAAUACUCGUGAAAUUUGGCACAUACAUUGGUCUUGGUGUGAGGAUGUUCAGGACACAUUUUCCACAUGUUUCGGAAACUGUGUUGCCAUGGUAACGGCAUGUCAGAAAAUUUGGUAAAAAUCUUGCGGAUCGAACUAUACUUCCUCAGUUUUCAACCAAUACUCAUGAAAUUUGGCACAUACAUUGGUCUUGGUGUGAGGAUGUGCAAGACACAUUUUUCACAUGUUUCGGAAACUGUUGCCAUGGUAACGGCAUAUAUAAUGUCAGAAAAUUUGGUAAAAAUCUUGCGGAUCGAACUACUUCCUCAGUUUUCAACUAAUUUGGCACAAACAUUUGUCUUGGUGUGAGGAUGUGCAAGACACAUUUUUCACGUGUCGAAAAAAUCAUGUUGUCAUGGUAACAGCAUGUUAUUGAUGGGGCGGGGGUAUUAAUCACCUUUGGUGAUAUUUCUAGUUCACCUUAUAAUUGUACAGAAUAUUUAAUGUUUCUACUUUCAUUAUAUUGAUUGUACAAUGGUCUUCAUAAUCACAUUACACUCUGAUGUGUAUUGUUGCAAUGUAAAUAAUUCUUUGAAAGCAUUGAAUUUUUAAUGUUAACUGAAAUGUGUAUUGUUGCAAUGUAAAUAAUGCUUUGAAAGCAUUGAAUUUUGAAUGUUAACUGAUGAAAUGUUAUGAAAAUAAAGCUGUAAAAGCACCCAUUUCUUAA